CCUACGGGUGGCAGCAGUGGGGAAUAUUGGGCAAUGGGCGCAAGCCUGACCCAGCAACGCCGCGUGAAGGAAGAAGGCUUUCGGGUUGUAAACUUCUUUUCUCAGGGACGAAGCAAGUGACAGUACCUGAGGAAUAAGCCACGGCUAACUACGUGCCAGCAGCCGCGGUAAUACGUAGGUGGCAAGCGUUAUCCGGAUUUAUUGGGUUUAAAGGGCGUGUAGGCGGGACGGCAAGUCAGUUGUGAAAACCACGGGCUCAACCUGUGGCCUGCAUUUGAAACUGUAGUUCUUGAGUACUGGAGAGGCAGACGGAAUUCGUGGUGUAGCGGUGAAAUGCGUAGAUAUUAGGAGGAACACCGGUGGCGAAGGCGGUCUGCUGGACAGCAACUGACGCUGAGGCGCGAAAGUGUGGGGAGCAAACAGGAUUAGAUACCCGAGUAGUC
rnacentral:rRNA from 1 species